GUUUUCCCUGAAAGGAAUGCUGCCCUGCUGACACCCUGACUCCAGUGCAGUGAGACCCACUUCAGACUUCUGACCUUUAAAACUGUAAGGUAAUAAUUUGUGUUAAGCCGCUAAGUUUGCAGCAAUUUGUUACAGUGGCAAUAAGAAACGAAUACAAAGGUGAAAGCUGAUCAUGGCUGAAGAAUAGAUAAAGUGUAUGAUUAGAAAGGAGGUAGCAGAUAUGGGCAGGAGGUCAAUGACCAUAGAGGCUUAAAUUUCAAGGCAGAGAUUUUGAAAUGCAUAGGCAAUGGGAAACUGCUGAAGGAUUCUAAAAAAUGAGUGAUGCGGUCAGAUUUGUAUCACAAAGAGGUCACCAACUGGUGCAGAGGAGGAACUGGAAGAGUGAGCCAGAAGGCAGAGAGACUCCUGGAGAGGAGGUUGCAGCGGUCCUGGUGAGCUCCCCCGCGGUGAGCUGGGGCCACAGGGGGGCUGCCUCCUCUGAGCCCUUGGGACCCACGGGACCUCCACACCGCAGUACUGGCAGCCAGGGGCUGUGUUACAUACGCCACUCCCUUCCUAGUGUCCUUGUGGAGGCAGCCUCUUCAGUGAAAACCUGGACUAGGAGAGAGGAUGAAGGAAUGAAAGCACAGAGAGGUUAAGUGCCUUGGCCAAGGUCUCACAGCAAGUCAGUCGCCUGCAGUGAGGCUAUGGAGUCAUGAACCUAACCACUGGACAAACCUGCCUCCCUGAGAGGAAUUCUGUAGAUUGCAGAGCCAGCAGAGACAGGUGAAUUCUAACCUCGAAUACAAUCAGGAAAAGCUUCUUGAAGCAGAUGGGGUUGUGCAGCUCCCAAGCUCUCCUCAGCCCUCGCACCCAUUCCUUCAACUCUACAUCCAUCACAGCCUGGAAGCCUUGACCUCCCCAACCCCCAAAGUCCGGCAGGACUGAGGUAUAAUGUUCGAAAAUUGCCUAGUAAAGUGUGAGAUCAAUCCAGGCAGAAUGCUAAAAGACCGGAAAACAUAAAAUGUAAAAACAGCCUCUGACAGUGCAAAAAUCAAGGAAGGACUUUAGCAAAAAAAAAAAAAAAAAAAAAGACUUCAUUUCCAGCAAAAAGGAACUUUAAUCCACCUGGUAAUUUAGUGUGUCUGCACUUCCUCCCUCUGAAAU
rnacentral:lncRNA from 1 species